GAUUAACGCUGGCGGCGUGCAUAACACAUGCAAGUCGAACGAUGAAACUUAAAUGAUUUCUUCGGAAUGAACUUAAGUGGAUUAGUGGCGGACGGGUGAGUAACGCGUGAGUAACCUGCCUUACACAAGGGGAUAGCCGUUGGAAACGACGAAUAAUACCCUAUGAAACUAUCACUUCGCAUGAAGCGAUAGUCAAAGUGUUAGCGGUGUAAGAUGGACUUGCGUCUGAUUAGCUAGUUGGUGAGAAAAAAGCCCACCAAGGCAACGAUCAGUAGCCGGCUUGAGAGAGUGUACGGCCACAUUGGGACUGGGACACGGCCCAGACUCCUACGGGAGGCAGCAGUGGGGAAUUUUGCACACUGGGGGAAACCCUGAUGCAGCGACGCCGCGUGAUUUAGAAGGCCUUCGGGUUGUAAAAAUCUUUUGUAUAGGAAGAAAAUGACAGUACUAUACGAAUAAGGUCCGGCUAAUUACGUG
rnacentral:rRNA from 1 species